ACAGCUGUGGAAUAAUGGUGGUGCUGAUGUUCGGUUUCAGAUUAUGGUUUCGGGUCAAUCCGGGUCAAACCCGGUCAACAUAUGUUAAGAUCAGUCAACAACAGUCAACCCGAUCGGAUGUGGGUUCGAGUCAACACAUCGGGUCUUGCGGUUCGUGGUUCGGUUCGGUUGGCUCAGUUAAACCGAGUCGACUCAGCGGGUCAACUCGGUCAACGCGGUCAAACUGAGUCAACUCAGUCAACCGGUUCAGCGUUCCGACACGAAGAGUGGUAAAGUUUUAACGGUGAAUACGUUAUUUCUAUAAAUUUUUAUUACAUAUGUGAAAUCGAGCUCACACGAACGGUUUAGUGUUUAGUCUAUACUUUGUCGUUUUUACGAAAAUUUAUAUAUUAGUGAUUGAAUAUUGUUGAA